UGGGGGAAGUCACCUAUGUGUAGUAUAAAGCGAGUUAUUUCGGUGAUAAAGCUGACAUAUUUUCGGCAAAUGCUGUUUAUCGCAACCACCGCAUUUCUUCGUUAUCUAUUUUUAUUUAUCAAAACACCCAUGACAAGUUUGAAAGUAAAUACAUUUCGUAUAUUGGUUAUAUUAUUUUAAUGUUUGCAGAAAUAAAUGUAUAGCUAGAGUUCCUGAUAUCGACGAAAAUAGUUUCCGGAUUGAUGUUGGGAAUAGGUCUAAAAUGGCAGAUUUGGAUUAACACCAUGAAAGUUUCAUCUAUUGGGACACGAUCCAUCGUGACGAUACUGCUUUUUGUUCCUUGCGUUCGAGGAAGGCUUAAUGAUGAAAAAGUACAGAAAUCAAUAUGGCAAACGUUUACACACGCUGGAUAUUUAGGUUGGUCACCUGCUGAGGUGAAAGAGAGAGUAAUAUCUCUCGAAACGCAACUUGAAUCUAAUCUUACAACUUUCAACAAAACACUGCAAACCGUAAAAGAUGAAUAUGCUUAUCAAGUGUCUGCAUUGCAACAACUAAAAAAUGCAACGAAAUUUGAUAUUUUGGAUUUAGCGGAAGCAUUUAAACAAUCAAUUCAGCAAUACAAAGCGCAUUUAAAAUUCUCCGGAAGGCAAUAUUUCUGCAAGUCACUAUCUGCAAAAACAAAUGCUAAACUACGACAAGACAGCGAAAAGAUUCGCACAUAUUUAGAAGCAUAUGAUCUUACAUCCGAUUUGUGGAUUAAAAAUACAGAGAAAAGCAUCAGUGCAUUAGAAAAUAACUUUAUCGCUAUUCUCAAGAAAUUAGAAACAACCAACAACGCGCAAAUACAAACAGAACAACGUUUGAAGGACAACAGCGAACAGCAUGAGAAUAUUAGAAAACACACGUUUAACAAAGACUCGUUGAUAGUGAUCAUCUUGUUGUUAGUUGUCUCCCAGAUCUACACCUUGUAUAUGAUUCAACACUUACGGACUCCCGUGCAAAGAAACGAACGGUGAAUUGGGAUGGGAAAGAAUAUUCAAAUAUUCGAAAAUGGUUGUAAUAUUUAAAUAAGAAAUUAUUAUUCAAAUAUUCAAUUUUAAUUGACAAGUAUUCUGCAUAACACACACGUUGACACAACUACAAAAUCUCAUUUAAAGUUACGAGCUGACGUUUGUCGGUAGUUUGUCAUUACACUGAUAGCAGCUUCGAUCAAAUAACGCUAUGAUUGAAAAGAACUUACGGUGGCAUAGAGGGGCAUUCACUUCUUUUUUUUUUAAAUAGCUCUCCUCAUUUUUCGAUCUCGUGGCCACGAGUUAGCUAUGUUGUGGCCACGAGAUAGAACACAGAGGAGUGCAAAACUAAAUAAAAGCGGGGUGCAAUUAAAAAAAGAGCGGUGCAGUAAAUAAAGGCAGAGUGCAUUAAACAAAAGAGGAAAGAAUUUUCGAGAUCCCGAGUUAGUCAGCCAAUCAAAUUUUGCGUAACAUGUGUAAAUAUUCUGUACGCAUCUAUAUAGCUGGUCAAAGCAGGCCAGGCUCUGAUAUAACAUAACAUACUACUAUAAGUACUACUAUUCCUGCUACUAAUACGGCUGCUGUUGUUGUUGUUGCUGCUGUUACUACUACUACUACUACGACAACUACUACUACUACUUCUACUACUACUACUACUACUACUACUACUACUACUACUACUACUACUACUACUACUACUACUUCUACUACUACUACUACUACUACUACUACUACUACUACUGAUACUACUUUUACUACUACUACUACAACUACUACGACUACCUCUUUGACGACGACGACGGACUACCAACGGACGACCGACCGAUGGACGACGACCGAGGGACGACUAACGGACGACCGAUGUUUGGACGAGGGACGACCGACGGACGACGCCGGAUGGACGACCGGAGGACGGACGACCGGAGGACGGACGACGCCAGAUGGACGACCGACGGACCACGACCGGAGGACGGACGAUGGACGACCGAAAGAUGACCUACUGACGACCGGACGACAACCGACGGACGACGACGACUACUUCGACGACUACUACUACUACUACUACUACUACUACUACUAGUUACUAAUAGUUUUAUCUAGCUAUCCAUUCUAGUUGUUUAAGUUACGGUCCGUAUUUUAAAAUUGCAUUGUUAACAACAAGUAUUUCACUGAAAUCACUUAUAGUUGUUCUGUAAUGGUGCAACAGUGCUAUACUUUUGUCCACGGCAUAUACUUUGGCUAUGUUUUUCAUGGCCCACGCCUCAUGAAUGCCCAUAGUCACGAUGUCUUUCGGUCGAACUAUGCAUUUUGAGCGGUCGAACACCGGGUUUAUGUAUUGAUUCAUUAAUUUUGUCGCGAAAGCUUUAGAUUUGACGGUAAUAUUCAUAGCUAAUUGUAUUUCCAUCCAGUCCGGAUUAGUUGAUCGUAUUUUAAAAUGAGCAUGACGAAACGCAUAUACACUUGCAUUGUGUAUUGACAGUUCAUCCAAUAGUUGCGGGAGUAAUAGAGGGGUGUCUCUUUGGUACACCACGAAUUCAUCAAGGUCAACAAACUGAGUCCAAUCACUUUCUAGCUUACUCCUAUACAAACAAUCGUUAAUUGCAGCUAGUUGCCCAAAAUAGUGUAUUUCAUUUUGACUAAUAGGUAAUUUCCAAUAAAGAACUCUUGCUAAACGUUCGUGAACGUAAUGCUUGAGCCGUUGUUCCACGGGCGUGGAUAUAUUAUUGACAUAGAAGUUGAAAUAUUGGACACCCAUAACUUUGUUCAGUUCAACCCAUUCCACAACCUGUUCAUGAUCGGAAUAAAAGCUAUGAAUUGGUGGAACACAUGCGGUUAAUGUUACUCUCUUUGAAAGCGACGAUUUUUCAACCUUCAGCAAAUUUCGUGGAGUUUCGUAAAUGGCAUUCUUGAUAACGGGUACCACGGAAACUAAAGUUGGCUGCUCCAGGUUUUCCAUAUCCAGGUUACAUACGAAAUAUACUGCAGAAUACCUUGAAACAAAAUGUAAUUAGCAUGUAUAAUGUAGCAUGUUGAACGUGUGUAAUCACUCAUUAAAAAUCAGUUUAUGCAUUCAAACUAUAAGCGUAUAUGUCAUCAACACAUUCUGAAAAAAGAAUUGUUCAGAUAUUUUAUGUAUUUUAAAAAUUAUUUAAGACUUCAAGAUUUGAGAUAUAUGACUUCGGUGUCUACUUGUUUAUCUUAUUUAAUGAAACUCCAAUAUGUAAGGACAAAUAGUGAAAACUUCAUUAGUAGCAUGUACGUGUAUAUGAAAUGUGUAUGCUAUACAUUUAUAAUUAAAUUAAUUAUCACCUACUGUU